rnacentral:tRNA from 1 species
GGGGCUGUAGCUCAAUUGGGAGAGCGCCUGCUUUGCAAGCAGGGGGUCAGCGGUUCGAUCCCGCUCAGCUCCACCA